AACGUACGCUGGCGGCACGCCUAACACAUGCAAGUCGAACGAAGUAGCAAUACUUAGUGGCAGACGGGUGAGUAACAUGUAGGUAUCUGCCCUUUGGCCUGGAAUAACACGAGGAAACUUGUGCUAAUACCGGAUAAGUCUUUACGGAGAAAGCUUUAUGCACCAUUGGAUGAGCCUGCACUUGAUUAGUUUGUUGGUGGGGUAAUGGCCUACCAAGACUGUGAUCAAUAGCUGAUUUGAGAGGAUGAUCAGCCACAUUGGGAGUGAGACACGGCCCAAACUCCUACGGGAGGCAGCAGUGGGGAAUCUUGCACAAUGGAGGAAACUCUGAUGCAGCGAUGCCGCGUGAGUGAAGAAGGCCUUUGGGUUGUAAAGCUCUUUCGUCGGGGAAGAAAAUGACUGUACCCGAAUAAGAAGGUCCGGCUAACUUCGUGCCAGCAGCCGCGGUAAUACGAAGGGACCUAGCGUAGUUCGGAAUUACUGGGCUUAAAGAGUUCGUAGGUGGUUGAAAAAGUUAGUGGUGAAAUCCCAGAGCUUAACUCUGGAACUGCCAUUAAAACUUUUCAGCUAGAGUAUGAUAGAGGAAAGCAGAAUUUCUAGUGUAGAGGUGAAAUUCGUAGAUAUUAGAAAGAAUACCAAUUGCGAAGGCAGCUUUCUGGAUCAUUACUGACACUGA
rnacentral:rRNA from 1 species